GAGGACUAAAAAAACAAAACAAAACAAAAAAACAAUAAAAAACAAAAGCCAGGGGGCCUGACGGAACACACAGAGGGCGCACAGGCACAGGCCUGCUCCAGCUGUCUGAAUUCCUGUAUGCUGAAGGGCGGGGUUACGUUCUUAAUGUUGUCCGGGGGCCUGCGUAACACUAUGUGCAGCCGUGUCCUAAUCUCUUCUAUGUUGCUGCCACUUAAGAGUGGAGUGUGGGUGCUGUAUUUGAGCAGGAGUGUAUUACAUUACCUAUGUCUGGGGCUGUGCAUGUGGG
ensembl:lncRNA